rnacentral:rRNA from 1 species
UGGGGAAUUUUGGACAAUGGGCGAAAGCCUGAUCCAGCAAUGCCGCGUGUGUGAAGAAGGCCUUCGGGUUGUAAAGCACUUUUGUCCGGAAAGAAAUCCUUGGCUCUAAUACAGUCGGGGGAUGACGGUACCGGAAGAAUAAGCACCGGCUAACUACGUGCCAGCAGCCGCGGUAAUACGUAGGGUGCAAGCGUUAAUCGGAAUUACUGGGCGUAAAGCGUGCGCAGGCGGUUUGCUAAGACCGAUGUGAAAUCCCCGGGCUCAACCUGGGAACUGCAUUGGUGACUGGCAGGCUAGAGUAUGGCAGAGGGGGGUAGAAUUCCACGUGUAGCAGUGAAAUGCGUAGAGAUGUGGAGGAAUACCGAUGGCGAAGGCAGCCCCCUGGGCCAAUACUGACGCUCAUGCACGAAAGCGUGGGGAGCAAAACAGGAUUAGAUACCCUGGUAGUCCACGCCCUAAACGAUGUCAACUAGUUGUUGGGGAUUCAUUUCCUUAGUAACGUAGCUAACGCGUGAAGUUGACC